CUUGAUCGAGCCCAGCCACAGUGGGUGUUCGGCGUCGUGCUCCUUGCCGUAGGUGGCGAGCAGGGCCUGCGCCUC
rnacentral:antisense_RNA from 1 species